GGGGGUGUCCCCAAUUCUGACUGGGAGUGGAGGAACCCCCUCCUGAGCUUUCUUGUGGGGGUCCCUCCUCCCCAGGGCACUCCUCAGCCCCUGAGCCAGCCGAGAGGAAGGAGGCCAGCGAUGCGACUGGGGCAGCUCCUUUCUCCUGCACCCCAAAUGUGAGGGAUGCACCCCAAAUUUUGCUCCUUUCAAAAUAGGGGACCAGGAUCUCAGGGGAGAGUAGCUGAGUCCUCAAGGGGAUUCUAACAAAACUAGCAACAAAGUAGGAAAGAUGAGCUGGAAAGGAGUCCUGAGAAAGAUGGAACAACGGGUAAGGAGGAAGAAAGCUGCCCACCCCAUUCUCUGCCAGCCACCCUCCCUCACACUGUCCGUUCCUUGAUGACACAGCUGAUGUGAUUAAGAUCGUCCCCAAAUCGCUUCA